rnacentral:tRNA from 1 species
GCUGCCCGGUAGCUCAGUGGUAGAGCAGGUGGCUGUUAACCACUUGGUCGGGGGUUCAAAUCCCUCCUCCGGAGCA